rnacentral:rRNA from 1 species
AAACUUGAUGCUAAUACCGGAUAAGCCCUUACGGGGAAAGAUUUAUCGCCGAAAGAUCGGCCCGCGUCUGAUUAGCUAGUUGGUGGGGUAAUGGCCCACCAAGGCGACGAUCAGUAGCUGGUCUGAGAGGAUGAUCAGCCACAUUGGGACUGAGACACGGCCCAAACUCCUACGGGAGGCAGCAGUGGGGAAUAUUGGACAAUGGGGGCAACCCUGAUCCAGCCAUGCCGCGUGAGUGAUGAAGGCCCUAGGGUUGUAAAGCUCUUUUGUGCGGGAAGAUAAUGACGGUACCGCAAGAAUAAGCCCCGGCUAACUUCGUGCCAGCCGCCGCGGUAAUACGAAGGGCGCUAGCGUUGCUCGGAAUCACUGGGCGUAAAGGGUGCGUAGGCGGGUCUUUAAGUCAGGGGUGAAAUCCUGGAGCUCAACUCCAGAACUGCCUUUGAUACUGAAGAUCUUGAGUUCGGGAGAGGUGAGUGGAACU